AGUCACAAUGGUUUACAAAAUCAAAACCAAAAUAUCUUCUUUUUUUAAAUUAGAAAACUGAAUCAUCUUGUUUAUUGUUACCAUUCAUUUUUAACACUAUUGUCCAUUAAUCUUUUUGUCCAUCCUAAUUCGUAAUUCUGUAUGUGAUGCAGAAGUUUGAAAUUUAUAGCUUACAUUUUAUACAUGCCUGCUAUUGACAUCUGACCAACAUGUAGCAUAAAACUUAGCAAUUUAAAACUCCAAAGAAAAAAGUGAAGAUUUAAGAGAUUAUAAAAAUUGAGCAGUCUUGCAUUUUAAAACACUCAAUAUCAUAGAGUGACAUGAAUCGGACCAAACAAGAGAAGUCUAGAGAACUUCUAAGAAAAAUACCAUCACUUUAUGACUGAAGGUUAAAAACAAAAGUGAAGGUCUAAAAUACAUUUUACAAAAAAAAAAUCCUUCAUAUUGAAGGUAUUAUAAAACCACAUAUAUGUACAAAUUAUUUUGAGAAUAUUUUUCGUAAUUUUGAAUUUUAGUUGAGCUAAAAAUUGUGAAAAAAUUAAACAGCUGUAAAUAUUAUAGUUUUAUACAUGUUUAACAUGCAGGUUUAACCAAAAUAUUUCAGAGAAACCUACGGUCACAAAGAGUACAUAUAGAUCAUUUUUUGCUUAGAAUGACAAGUAUAUUAGUUCAAAUAAGAGCACAUGUAUGAUUUGAAACCAAAUUUGCUCUUUUUUGAGUGUAUUUAGUUAUCAUUGUAGUCUAAAAAGGACAGUGCAAGUUAAAAUUAAUAUAUUCAUAGUGUAAUUUAUUUUUUAGCAGCAUAUUUCAAUUUGUUGAUUUUCACAAGUUAAAAAUGUAAUAUAUGCAUUUGUAGCUUAAUUUAUUUGUUGAUUUUCUCUUUUGUCGUGUUUAUUUUUGUUUGUUUAUAUGCUAAAUCAUUUUUUUCAAGAUAAAAUUAAUGUUUACUGGGAUUUUUCCCCCAAAGUAGUAUUCUUAUCAAAUAAGGUAAAACACUAAAUACUUUAAUUGCUGGUGCAUGUACAAUGCUUGGAUUAUUUUCCUUUAUAUAUAAUUGCUUAUGUACAUGUACAUGAGUUGAUUUUGAAGAUAGCCAUGUAUUGACUGUGGUGUGGGAUUGAAUUUUAUAGUAUGAAGUUAUGAAAGUUUUAUUGUUGAUGCACAAUAAAUUUAAAGUUUUUUAAACCUUA